rnacentral:rRNA from 1 species
UUUAUUUGAGAGUUUGAUCCUGGCUCAGGAUGAACGCUGGCGGCGUGCCUAACACAUGCAAGUUGAGCGAUUUACUUCGGUAAAGAGCGGCGGACGGGUGAGUAACGCGUGGGUAACCUACCCUGUACACACGGAUAACAUACCGAAAGGUAUGCUAAUACGGGAUAAUAUAUUUGAGAGGCAUCUCUUGAAUAUCAAAGGUGAGCCAGUACAGGAUGGACCCGCGUCUGAUUAGCUAGUUGGUAAGGUAACGGCUUACCAAGGCGACGAUCAGUAGCCGACCUGAGAGGGUGAUCGGCCACAUUGGAACUGA